rnacentral:lncRNA from 1 species
GGGAUGGGAAGCCCCGGCUGCAUCCUUUGGUCAAUUACUGAAGUGACUCUUGCAUUCCCUAAUCCCUGUUAAUAUCACUGCUUGUCAAAGAAGAUUUGUGCCUUUCCUGGAAGACAGCCGCCUAUUCUGUACUGGCUGGGGGAGAAAGAGACAACUCAUCAGCUUGUGCCGGGAACAGUGAAAGGCAGGAAAGAAAGGCACCCUGUUCUCUGGGGAGAAUGUACAGGAGGUUUCAUCUGCCUCCUUGAUUGCACAGAACAAACAAACAAACUGCACAAUAAAAAAUGGAAACCUCAUGCCCUGAGAUGUUCUUCAAUGUGAUGUAUGGAUCUGAAAUACCAUUUAGGAUGGAGUGACAGGAUUUGUUGAGAGGAGCUGAAGGGACCUCUGAACAAUCACACCUCGGACCUCUGAACAAUCACACCUCUUGCUUCGGUGCCUG